rnacentral:lncRNA from 1 species
AUUAUUAGGUCUUUCCACUUUUCGUGGAAAGACCUUUUGUUUUUCAUCUGAUUAUUUUUUUUUUUUUCUUCUGCCGUCUGAGAUGCUUUUUUGUCUUACAACAUAUCGAAUGGAUUUUUUGGCCAAUGAUGUUGUACAGUAAUGGGGGUUUCAAAACUAACCCUGUGGGACCGAGCACUUAUUCUUAUAGGAGUUAUCUCCCCGCGUCCUUUUUUUCUUGUUAUCGCUAUAUCUCUAAAACCGUAAAAGAUUUUAGCAAACUGUUUUCACCAAAUUGUUUGUCUACUCUUGAGAAGGAUUUGGUGUAUUUGACUUGACUGAUCGGAAGACAUCUUAUGGGAUUAUUUCCCUUU